AUAACGGUCCUAAGGUAGCGAAAUUCCUUGUCAGGUAAGUUCUGACCCGCACGAAUGGUGUAAUGAUCUGGGCACUGUCUCGACAACCUACCCGGCGAAAUUGUAGUACCGGUGAAGAUGCCGGUUACCCGCGACUAGACGGAAAGACCCCAUGGAGCUUUACUGUAGCUUAAUAUUGAAUUCUGGCAAAUCAUGCACAGGAUAGGUGGGAGACUAUGAAGUAUGCCUUUCGGGGUAUAUGGAGUCGACGUUGGGAUACCACUCUUGGUUUGCUAGGGUUCUAACCUGCGGCCGUAAGCCGGUCGGGGGACAGUGUUAGGUGGGCAGUUUGACUGGGGCGGUCGCCUCCCAAAGAGUAACGGAGGCGCUCAAAGGUUGGCUCAGCAUGGACGGAAACCAUGCCACUGAGUGUAAACGCAAAAGCCAGCCUGACUGCGAGAAUGACGGUUCGAGCAGAAACGAAAGUUGGAGUUAGUGAUCCGGCGGUAUGUGAGUGGAAAUGCCGUCGCUUAACGGAUAAAAGCUACCCUGGGGAUAACAGGCUGAUCUCCCCCAAGAGUUCACAUCGACGGGGAGGUUUGGCACCUCGAUGUCGGCUCAUCGCAUCCUGGGGCUGUAUUCGGUCCCAAGGGUUUGGCUGUUCGCCAAUUAAAGCGGUACGCGAGCUGGGUUCAGAACGUCGUGAGACAGUUCGGUCCCUAUCUGUCGUGGGCGCAGGAUAUUUGAUGGGAGCUGUCCCUAGUACGAGAGGACCGGGAUGGACGCACCUCUGGUGCACCAGUUGUCACGCCAGUGGCACAGCUGGGCAGCUAUGUGCGGAUCGGAUAAACGCUGAAAGCAUCUAAGCGUGAAGCCGGCCUUAAGAUAAGAUAUCCCACUGAGUUAAUCAGGUAAGACCCCUUGAAGACUACAAGGUUGAUAGGCCUGAAGUGGAAGUGCCGUGAGGCAUGUAGCUUGCAGGUACUAAUCGGUCGAGGGCUUGACCAU
rnacentral:rRNA from 1 species